UCUUGCUUCAUCAGACAGCUCGGUCUCUGGUUUAGGAGCUUGUGGUCUCCCCCAGAGAAGCUUCAGUCUCAAGCCUUUUAUCACUAGCCUGUUCGCUAGUUCCUCAGCUGCCUUCUCUGCACCUUCUCUUGUCGUGUAGGUUACAAAAGCACAACCACGCGUUGGUGGGAAUUGUUCCUGUGUGCCUGGGGGUGGAGGAAGCUGAUUCUGCUGUUGUGAUAUGACAGCUCUGGGCAACAAUCCACUGUGUGACACUGCAGCCUGCUGUCUUGCUUCAUCAGACAGCUCGCUCUCUGGUUUAGGAGCUUGUGGUCUCCCCCAGAGAAGCUUCAGUCUCAAGCCUUUUAUCACUAGCCUGUUCGCUAGUUCCUCAGCCGCCUUCUCUGCACCUUCUCUUGUCGUGUAGGUUACAAAAGCACAACCACGCUGCACCACCAUUUUAAUGGACUCGAUUUCUCCAUGUGCAUAAAAGUGGUCCCUUAGAUCCUGCUCGUUGAUUCUUGCAUCAACACCACCCACAUAAAGGGUUCUAAUGCUCUCAUCAUCUGGGGGCUCCAAUGAAGGCAUUUCACCUGCCUUAUUAAGUAGCUUCAUAGCCACGGGAUCAUUAACUCUGCAAGCAUUGCAGGUAACAUAAUGGCAACAAUUCUUGAGCCACAACAUGAGCCAAAAACAUGAAUAAGAUAGUAAUAUAGCGCUUUUAAGUUAAUGAAGAUCAUUAGGACAAAACAUGAAUAAGAUAGUAAUCUAGCUCUUUUAAGUUAAUGAAGAUCAUUAGAACAAUAAAUCUUCAGGAAAGAGAACAUUCAACAAGAUGUCAUUAAUCUAAUGACGAUGAGAACCUAAAGAGGCAAGAACAGGUGGACAUUUCAAAGACGCAAAAUGGCAUGGCACUAGCUGCUUAGAAUAUGAGAAGAAAUGGAUCCUUCCAAUCUUGCUUAACUUAAUCUAGAAGGAGAACUAGGGUUUUAUGGCGACCUUGCUAGUCACACCUUCUCUGUUAUACUUAACAUGAAUGCUACAGACUCGUUAAGGGUGCCAGGUAUGGAAGUUUAUUAAGGUGUCUGAUUUUCCGAAGGUUUCUUAUUUAGGAAUUAAGGAAACCAAAAGAUCAUUAGCACUGGCUUUGAUAAAUAAAUGAAAAAAAGAUCAUUAACACUAAUGCGAGGUUAUGACUAAUAGGCAUAGCAAAUUAAGGUUGAAUGUCUGUGAUUUUUCACUAUGAAAUCUUCUCAACUGAGAAUGUGAAUGGUCUUUUACCUGGACAGAGAUAUUUGUUGUGGUAACAUAAAAAAUUAGAAAAAAAUGUGGCUUAGUCUCGAGACUAUAUUGAGGCGCAGGUACAAGUUCAGCUAUGCAUCAUCAACGUCAAGGAAACAUAGUCCUUAACCACGGGUGUCAUCAAGCAACUACUUUCAUCUCCAUUGGUUCAGAAAUAGCGAAGGAUUAAAACAAAAGAAAAGGCCAGCAUGGCUGUUGAAUCAGCUGCUGUUGCCGAGUGCAGUCCACGGGAUUUGCCUCUAGAGAAGCUCAUUCCUUGGAUGACGGAUCCUUAGGAUAGGUAUAGUCUUUUCUAUCUGUAGUUUCCCUGAUUAAGCCCAUUAUCAAAACUCUUUCCAUCCAUCUUGUAAGUCCUUUUUGUUCCUAGUACAAAAACAGAACCUAACUAAUACUUACUACUCCUAUUAGAUUUGACAUUGUUAAAUUACUUAUUUAUUAGAUAUAAACAUUGGACGAGGUUUUAGGAAAAAAUAUAUUUAUUUAUUUUAAAUAUUAUGCAACACAGUCCUCAACAAAAAGUAUGAACAAGCAAAACCUUUAUUUUCUUUUUGAACUCCAUGGUUGGAAAGAGUGUGAGGAUUUGAAAAAGCUAUUUUAUAUCUAUUGGGUGUUCACUGGGAUGAUUAUAGUACAGACAAAAAGGAAUAGACCACCAAAGUUACAAGGGAAUAUACUCUAAACAGCCAAUAUUUAGAAGGCACAUAUUGACAGUUGACACCAGAAGAUUAAAUAUCAAUAUUAUGUCUACUUCUACUACAAAACAGAAAAGCUACAUGCGGAUUAGACAUAUCCAGAGUUGAGCAUUGAAAAAGAAAACGAAUAGCAUUCAAAUUGACAGGAUAAAGAUUAGGUUGCACAUACCCGUAAUAACGGUCCUUAAUGUUUUGCUGUGACAACUCCCCAGUCUCAGGCAUUUCAUGCCUAUAAGGGCACUCCAAACCUCUUGUACAUUGACCACGUAUAAAGAAACUAC
rnacentral:lncRNA from 1 species